CAUCACGUCGUAGCCACACAAAUGUCUGGCCUCUGCGGAUCAUCCACACGAAGCUCCCAUCUGAUCAGCUCCUCACGAAUGCUAGUUCGUGAUUUCACCCUUUUGAUGGUAGAUGUUGAUCGAACUCCUUCGAUCGAUGUGUGCCGACUUCUUGGAUGCUCCGGAUCAUCUGCACAGUUGCUUGAGAGGCUGAUGGAUCUCUUCCUAAAAUUUGGUAGACUCACGACACUCGUGGCACACCAAUCUCACUUCCCGAACCCUAGGUAGAAACCCUAGGGUACACACCAAAAACCCUGUGCCCAAUUUUCUCUCUUUUCUUUCUUUUUCUCUCGAAAGGUUUUGGACCU
rnacentral:lncRNA from 1 species